GUUGCUUGCACGUUGCUUGCGAAUCUUGCGAUUGCUAAUAAUUGUAUGAAAAUAAGAUUGAUUUGAUUUGUGAUAUUUCUCCAAAAGCCAUACAGAAUGACUGAUCUCCUAUGUAGAAUAUGCCUGGCACGUGAUACUCGUAUGUGUACAACGUACAACACGCCACUGGAAGUGCUUUAUCAAAAAAUCACAAAUAUACCUCUUAAAACAAAAGACGGAAGACCACACAUGGUGUGUUACGUCUGCUACCAUUUAUUAAGCAAGUAUCACAAAUUCAUUGAAAGUGCCGUUAAAACUGACAAAGUUCUUCAACGACUAUGUAGCAGUGGUAUACAGUUAACCGAGCAGCAUAUUGCAGCGAUAGACAAGGUUUUCUUACUCACACCAUUAACUAAGUCACGCGUUAUAAAUGUAAACGCAAUAAGCGAUUCAGACGGAGUCAGUAUAGAAGUGGCUGAAGUCAAGAGAGAAAUUGAAGAAGAUAAGCCUAUAUAUUAUGAGGUGGAAGUUAAAGAAA